AAGGGGAGUGGCAGACGGGUGAGUAACACGUGGGAACCUUCCCUAUAGUACGGAAUAGCCCAGGGAAACUUGGAGUAAUACCGUAUACGCCCGAAAGGGGAAAGAAUUUCGCUAUAGGAUGGGCCCGCGUAGGAUUAGCUAGUUGGUGAGGUAAUGGCUCACCAAGGCGACGAUCCUUAGCUGGUUUGAGAGAACGACCAGCCACACUGGGACUGAGACACGGCCCAGACUCCUACGGGAGGCAGCAGUGGGGAAUAUUGGACAAUGGGCGCAAGCCUGAUCCAGCCAUGCCGCGUGAGUGAUGAAGGCCUUAGGGUUGUAAAGCUCUUUUGGCGGGGACGAUAAUGACGGUACCCGCAGAAUAAGUCCCGGCUAACUUCGUGCCAGCAGCCGCGGUAAUACGAAGGGGACUAGCGUUGUUCGGAAUCACUGGGCGUAAAGCGCACGUAGGCGGAUAUGCCAGUCAGGGGUGAAAUCCCGGGGCUCAACCUCGGAACUGCCCUUGAUACAGCAUGUCUUGAGUCCGAUAGAGGUGGGUGGAAUUCC
rnacentral:rRNA from 1 species